rnacentral:rRNA from 1 species
GACGAACGCUGGCGGCGUGCCUAAUACAUGCAAGUAGAACGCUGAAGGAGGAGCUUACUUCUCUGGAUGAGUUGCGAACGGGUGAGUAACGCGUAGGUGACCUGCCUGGUAGCGGGGGAUAACUAUUGGAAACGAUAGCUAAUACCGCAUAAGAGUAGAUGUUGCAUGACAUUUACUUAAAAGGUGCAAUUGCACCACUACCAGAUGGACCUGGGUUGUAUUAGCUAGUUGGUGGGGUAACGGCUUACCAAGGCGACGAUACAUAGCCGACCUGAGAGGGUGAUCGGCCACCCUGGGACUGAGACACGGCCCCGACUCCUGCGGGAGGCAGCAGUAGGGCAUCUUCGGCAAUGGACGGAAGUGUGACCGAGCAACGCCGCGUGAGUGAAGAAGGUUUUCGGAUCGUAAAGCUCUGUUGUAAGAGAAGAACGAGUGUGAGAGUGGAAAGUUCACACUGUGACGGUAUCUUACCAGAAAGGGACGGCUAACUACGUGCCAGCCGCCGCAGUAA